rnacentral:lncRNA from 1 species
GAUUCAUUCCAUCUUCCACCUUUGUUGUGCCUGCAGGCUGAAGCACAAACACUUGGAAGUCAGGAGAUUUAGAAGCCAGAGCUCAAGCUCUGGGAACCAAGACUACAAAAGGGCUCUAAGAAAGCUAAGUCACAGAAAAGGAGACAAGACUUGGAAAGAGACAGUAAAGGAUUUGGACUUUAAUAUCUGACUGCAUUUGUGGUGAUUACUGAACUGAAACUAAGGCUGCCUCCAGAGACACCAAGAAAACCCCAACAAGAGAAGAUUACAUUUUAGACAAGAAUAUUAUAUGUCAAUCAAUCAAUGCAUGUCAUCAUUCAUUAAUGCAGAUCUCAAACUGUCCCUGCUUUAGUAGUGGAGGCAGAACCAACUUGUCAAGCACUAUAUAUGAAUUUGUGGAUCUACUAAUCAAGAUUAGCUCUAAGCCCUCACCCCGUUGACCAAAUCUUGGUAUCUUUGAAGAGUGGGGACAAGAGACAGAAUACAAUUUCAACAGAUCCCACACUUGCCUUGAGAACAGUCUCUGGAAGGUAAGGGAAAGGUAAAUCAGUCAGAGGUUAAGGAAAGACAUCCCUGCCUUCCAUAGAAAUUCUAAGAAUCAUAAACUCCCACUGGAGGCAUUCAGACUUGCCAUAGAGGAAGUGAGCAAAUUGAGUUGGAAAUGGGAAAAUAACUGUCAAGGGUCAGCCUGAC